ensembl:lncRNA
UGUGACGGCAUUUAGAGCAAACCUGAAUAAUUUAGGAUUAUUUCAGCUCAAGAUCCUUAACCACAUCUGCAAAGAUCCUUUCCUCAAAUGAACGUAACGUUCAUAAACUUGGGAAUUGGGGUAUGGACGUACCUUUGGGAGCCACUACAGCCUUCCACACAGUUUCAGUAACUUACUGUAACAAAGACCUGUGUGAAUCUGCUCCAGGAUAACCUAAAACAUUCUAACCUGAAGCCACAGUUCUCUCUAGAGAGAUUCUGAGCACCUGAGAAGAUCCUCUGCAGAGUUUCUUUCAAAAGAAGCCCAGGAUCAGAUAUCCAGAGAGCUUGCCUCCAACUCAAUCCUCAUUUUUAAUCAGACAUUUGUAAUCCAUAUUAGAAGAAAAAUCUAUGAGACCAAAUGGGAUCGAACUCGGGUCCUUGUGCUUGUGCAGCAGGCGGCGAAACCACUGAGCUAAAUCCCUGGCCCUAAGUCCUCAUAUUAAAUCUAUGACACAGGUACUCUUAUUUUUAAUAUACAUACAUAGAG